rnacentral:rRNA from 1 species
UACGUAGGGUGCGAGCGUUGUCCGGAAUUAUUGGGCGUAAAGGGCUCGUAGGCGGUUUGUCGCGUCGGGAGUGAAAACACCGGGCUUAACUCGGUGCUUGCUUUCGAUACGGGCAGACUAGAGGUAUGCAGGGGAGAACGGAAUUCCUGGUGUAGCGGUGAAAUGCGCAGAUAUCAGGAAGAACACCAAUGGCGAAGGCAGCUCUCUGGGACGGUACUGACGCUGAGACGCGAAAGCGUGGGGAGCGAACAGG